rnacentral:misc_RNA from 1 species
AAAGUCCAGAGCUUAUAAACCAGGCCAACCUUCCAGUGUUAUGUUAUUAUAUAUAUUAAUGCUAAUUUCACAUCUAACGGUUGACAUGGUUUAUAAGCUCUGGACUUUAAAUGUGAAAACGAUUAACCAUCCAUACCUAGAUAUGGCACGCUGCUAUUGGGCGGGCCUGACUUGGACCUUCUUCUCCUUCUUCAUCUUCUUCUUGUGAUUCUUUAACCAGAGUGGAGCUGCAGCCAAGAAAAUAUAGAACAAACAAAGAAUGAAUCACCAUGAUCGAUUUUUAAAUCUCCUGAUGCGAGAACGGUGGUUGUGAUGAUGAACAGAAUUAAUAUGUGUAUGAGAAUUGUGAAGCAAGAAAAGCUUCUUUAAGACUUUCAUGAACACUACCAAGCCUGNNNNNNAGCUGUUGACGCUGCAGGAGGCUUCCCAGGUGAAACCAUGGCAGUAUUAGUAGUUUUGAUUGAUGAUCUCAGAGAUUGAAGCUGAUUAACACAUCCCAUUUUAAC